GAUGAACGCUAGCUACAGGCUUAACACAUGCAAGUCGAGGGCAGCUAGGGAUUUAGCUUGCUAAAUCCGCUGGCGACCGGCGCACGGGUGCGUAACGCGUAUCCAACUUCCGUUACUCAGGGAUAGCCUUCCGAAAGGGAGAUUAAUACCUGAUGGUGUUUGAAGUUCGCAUGUUCUUCAAACUAAAGAUUUAUCGGUAACGGAUAGGGAUGCGUGACAUUAGAUAGUAGGCGGGUAACGGCCCACCUAGUCUACGAUGUCUAGGGGUUCUGAGAGGAAGGUCCCCCACACUGGAACUGAGACACGGUCCAGACUCCUACGGGAGGCAGCAGUGAGGAAUAUUGGUCAAUGGUCGGAAGACUGAACCAGCCAAGUAGCGUGAAGGAUGAAGGUUCUAUGGAUUGUAAACUUCUUUUAUACGGGAAUAAAACAUCCCACGUGUGGGAUCUUGUAUGUACCGUAUGAAUAAGCAUCGGCUAACUCCGUG
rnacentral:rRNA from 1 species